rnacentral:rRNA from 1 species
GGGUUGUGAGGUUAAGCGACUAAGCGUACACGGUGGAUGCCCUGGCAGUCAGAGGCGAUGAAGGGCGUGCUAAUCUGCGAUAAGCGCCGGUAAGGUGAUAUGAACCGUUAUAACCGGCGAUACCCGAAUGGGGAAACCCAGUGUGAUUCGUCACACUAUCGUUAACUGAAUCCAUAGGUUAAUGAGGCGAACCGGGGGAACUGAAACAUCUAAGUACCCCGAGGAAAAGAAAUCAACCGAGAUUCCCCCAGUAGCGGCGAGCGAACGGGGAGGAGCCCAGAGCCUGAAUCAGCAUGUGUGUUAGUGGAAGCGUCUGGAAAGGCGCGCGAUACAGGGUGACAGCCCCGUACACAAAAGCGCAUGUGCUGUGAGCUCGAUGAGUAGGGCGGGACACGUGGUAUCCUGUCUGAAUAUGGGGGGACCAUCCUCCAAGGCUAAAUACUCCUGACUGACCGAUAGUGAACCAGUACCGUGAGGGAAAGGCGAAAAGAACCCCGGCGAGGGGAGUGAAAAAGAACCUGAAACCGUGUACGUACAAGCAGUGGGAGCACAGGUUUACCUGUGUGACUGCGUACCUUUUGUAUAAUGGGUCAGCGACUUAUAUUCUGUAGCAAGGUUAACCGAAUAGGGGAGCCGUAGGGAAACCGAGUCUUAACCGGGCGUUAAGUUGCAGGGUAUAGACCCGAAACCCGGUGAUCUAGCCAUGGGCAGGUUGAAGGUUGGGUAACACUAACUGGAGGACCGAACCGACUAAUGUUGAAAAAUUAGCGGAUGACCUGUGGCUGGGGGUGAAAGGCCAAUCAAACCGGGAGAUAGCUGGUUCUCCCCGAAAGCUAUUUAGGUAGCGCCUCGUGAAUUCAUCUCCGGGGGUAGAGCACUGUUUCGGCUAGGGGGCCAUCCCGGCUUACCAACCCGAUGCAAACUGCGAAUACCGGAGAAUGUUAUCACGGGAGACACACGGCGGGUGCUAACGUCCGUCGUGAAGAGGGAAACAACCCAGACCGCCAGCUAAGGUCCCAAAGUCAUGGUUAAGUGGGAAACGAUGUGGGAAGGCCCAGACAGCCAGGAUGUUGGCUUAGAAGCAGCCAUCAUUUAAAGAAAGCGUAAUAGCUCACUGGUCGAGUCGGCCUGCGCGGAAGAUGUAACGGGGCUAAACCAUGCACCGAAGCUGCGGCAGCGACACUAUGUGUUGUUGGGUAGGGGAGCGUUCUGUAAGCCGUCGAAGGUGGCCUGUGAGGGUUGCUGGAGGUAUCAGAAGUGCGAAUGCUGACAUAAGUAACGAUAAAGCGGGUGAAAAGCCCGCUCGCCGGAAGACCAAGGGUUCCUGUCCAACGUUAAUCGGGGCAGGGUGAGUCGACCCCUAAGGCGAGGCCGAAAGGCGUAGUCGAUGGGAAACGGGUUAAUAUUCCCGUACUUGGUGUUACUGCGAAGGGGGGACGGAGAAGGCUAUGUUGGCCGGGCGACGGUUGUCCCGGUUUAAGCGUGUAGGUGUGUGUUCCAGGUAAAUCCGGUUCACUUUAACACUGAGGCGUGACGACGAGGCACUACGGUGCUGAAGCAACAAAUGCCCUGCUUCCAGGAAAAGCCUCUAAGCAUCAGGUAACAUCAAAUCGUACCCCAAACCGACACAGGUGGUCAGGUAGAGAAUACCAAGGCGCUUGAGAGAACUCGGGUGAAGGAACUAGGCAAAAUGGUGCCGUAACUUCGGGAGAAGGCACGCUGACACGUAGGUGAAGUGAUUUACUCACGGAGCUGAAGUCAGUCGAAGAUACCAGCUGGCUGCAACUGUUUAUUAAAAACACAGCACUGUGCAAACACGAAAGUGGACGUAUACGGUGUGACGCCUGCCCGGUGCCGGAAGGUUAAUUGAUGGGGUCAGCGCAAGCGAAGCUCCUGAUCGAAGCCCCGGUAAACGGCGGCCGUAACUAUAACGGUCCUAAGGUAGCGAAAUUCCUUGUCGGGUAAGUUCCGACCUGCACGAAUGGCGUAAUGAUGGCCAGGCUGUCUCCACCCGAGACUCAGUGAAAUUGAACUCGCUGUGAAGAUGCAGUGUACCCGCGGCAAGACGGAAAGACCCCGUGAACCUUUACUAUAGCUUGACACUGAACAUUGAGCCUUGAUGUGUAGGAUAGGUGGGAGGCUUUGAAGUGUGGACGCCAGUCUGCAUGGAGCCGACCUUGAAAUACCACCCUUUAAUGUUUGAUGUUCUAACGUGGACCCGUAAUCCGGGUUGCGGACAGUGUCUGGUGGGUAGUUUGACUGGGGCGGUCUCCUCCUAAAGAGUAACGGAGGAGCACGAAGGUUGGCUAAUCCUGGUCGGACAUCAGGAGGUUAGUGCAAUGGCAUAAGCCAGCUUGACUGCGAGCGUGACGGCGCGAGCAGGUGCGAAAGCAGGUCAUAGUGAUCCGGUGGUUCUGAAUGGAAGGGCCAUCGCUCAACGGAUAAAAGGUACUCCGGGGAUAACAGGCUGAUACCGCCCAAGAGUUCAUAUCGACGGCGGUGUUUGGCACCUCGAUGUCGGCUCAUCACAUCCUGGGGCUGAAGUAGGUCCCAAGGGUAUGGCUGUUCGCCAUUUAAAGUGGUACGCGAGCUGGGUUUAGAACGUCGUGAGACAGUUCGGUCCCUAUCUGCCGUGGGCGCUGGAGAACUGAGGGGGGCUGCUCCUAGUACGAGAGGACCGGAGUGGACGCAUCACUGGUGUUCGGGUUGUCAUGCCAAUGGCACUGCCCGGUAGCUAAAUGCGGAAGAGAUAAGUGCUGAAAGCAUCUAAGCACGAAACUUGCCCCGAGAUGAGUUCUCCCUUGGACUUUAAGUCCACUGAAGGAACGUUGAAGACGACGACGUUGAUAGGCCGGGUGUGUAAGCGCAGCGAUGCGUUGAGCUAACCGGUACUAAUGAACCGUGAGGCUUAACCUUACAACGCCGAAG